rnacentral:lncRNA from 1 species
CAGGCAAAUUUUUACUUGAUUAGGUUAAUUAUACAAGGAAGAAAAUGUAUGGGCCAGUUACAUAUCUAUAACUAUUGACUGGUGUUGGAAGAGAGUUUCUCUUUCCAUUAUGUCACUUUGUUUAACAUCAUCUCUUAGUGACCUGGAGAUCAAAGACCACUGAGAAAUUUAGGUAUAGAUGAGCUCUCAGAGAAAGGAAGUUAAAGAACCAAGGAACCAACAAGACAGGAAACGGAUUCCAUAGGGACUGUUCCCUCUUGGUGGCCCAGGCAAUUUAAGAAACUAUGGCUGGUACUUUAGAUGAUCUGUGAGAGCUAAUGGGUGAAGAAAACAGCUUAUAAGGGGAGACCCAGAAGAUCUUGGGAGGUCUUCUUGCUGGAGCAUGGAGGUUGGAGGAACUAUUAUCAAAAUGAGAUUUGGGCAAAAUCUCCAACUAAUUUGGGACCAUUUAAAUCAGCCAUCCCAAUCUCUAUUGCCACCAAAGGAGUAAAAUCAUGGUUUAUACUUCAAUAUCUACUGUCUAAGGAGGUAAUUAUUGGUAUUAAUCCUAUAAUUGACUUUCUCAUUAAACAAGGGAUUGUUGCUACAUGUACGUCAGAGAUGAAUACUCCUAUUCUCCCAAUAAAGAAGCCAAAACCUGGCCCUAAGCCCCUCUACCAUUUUGUUCAGAAUCUUAGAGAAUUUAAUGCUUAUGUGGUUGCUCUUCAUCCAGUUGUGCCUAAUCUACCACUAUUGUGGCUGCUAUUCCUUGAGAUAUCACUUGUUUUUUUACUAUUUGAUUUGUACGCUGCUUUCUAUCCUAUCCAUUUCAGCCCUGAUCCCAAUAUUUGUUUGCAUUUACCUGAUUAAACAAUAAGUGUAUUUGGACCAGAAUUCUACAGGUUUUCAUAAACUCUCCAACAAUAUUUUCCUCAGAUUUUGCAGAAGAUUUAUCCACUAUCACCUUUAAAGUUUCCACCUUGAACCAGAAUGUGAAUAACUUGCUCCUGGCCUUCCCUAGCCAAGAAGUUUGCUAUUAGAAUAGUUGCCAUUUCAUUCAGGAACUCUGUUAGUAGGGACAAAAGAUAUCCAGAGUAAAGAUACAGCAGUGUCAAAUACAAGUUGAAUAUUUGGGUUUUAUUUUGUCACCAGGAAAAAGGACUAUUUUCCUAAAAAGGAGACAAGUCCAACAGAACCUAUCAGUACACAGGACCAAGAAAUAAAUGUAUGUUACAUACCGGACA